ACAAGCCCUGGGGGAGAGCGGCAGGGGAAAAAUAAAGCCGACACCCCCGGGGAGCGGCAGGGAUGUGCAUCCAAGAGGAAGAGAGCCUGGUUGCUUUCUCCCAGAUUCCCUAGCAACUGCAGAGCGGCUUUUCCCAGGGAGCGUGGAGAAGGUUCUGGCACAUUCUGAGGACCACUUUGGAAGAAGCAGAGCUGAAGGGGGAGGAAAGGAAGAAUGUGGGCAUCUCAGAGGCCAGCCCGGUCAGGUCUGGCACGUGGGACCCACUCCCAGCAGCCCCCAGGGCGAGCCACCCCUCAGGCAGACAGAGGCCAGCACCGCAGCGAGAUCCAGGAUGGAUGAGCCCGGCUCCCAGCGGGGUCACUCAGCCCCACGCCGCAUGCACCCACACUCCAUCUUCUUCUCCCCUCUGCUUCCUCUCUCCUCUUCAAGAAUUGCCAGCCGGUAGCACCUUCCUAUUCAUUUUCAACACUCAGCUCACAGUUACAAGGAGGCCUUCCAAGGCUCUCAUGGAUGGGAUCGACUGAGCCCUCGGCUGAGUCCUCAAGUAUCAUCCCCCAGGCCCGGAGUCAGAAUUUACACAAGGCUCUUGCCGGCCCAGGGAUAGCGUUUAACCCAGAAGAACACACCGGCCUGGAGUUCAUGACCAGGGGCAGGAGCUGUGCAGAUCAUCCAGUCUCUCAAACAUCAUCAACCUCCUCUCUGGAGAAUUCUGCUUCCUGGCCAGAAAAACCAGGACAUCUGCUAGUACACAGGUGCCCGCCUCCUCCUGUCCUCGCCCGGUGAGGUGGAGGCAGGCUUGGCCUUUGCAGAACUGAGAGCAAGCAGGCCCCUGCGAGGGGAAGCUGCACUGUGCCCCAUGGUUCCACAGGACUGGGGUGACCUUGGGCCCAGACCCCCGGGCUCUGCUUAUAAUCUGCAGUGACGACGUGGGUCCGGGCAGUGGGCUACACUGGCAAGGCAGGGGAUCAUGUGCCCGGGACAGCAGGAGUGUGGCAGGUGGUGUCAGCGGCCGUCCGGGUCCACCAACUCUCUCCCGGGGGAAGUGAGGGCCUCCUUCCCCAGCUUGGCCCAGAACUGGCUUCUCAAGGUGCCAGGUGGAAUCCCAGCGCCUCCCCCGCCUGCCUGGGCCUGGCAGGCAGAGCCUGAGAACAGACGCCCAGCACCUUGUUCUUGGAGAGGAUGACAGAUUUGCGGGUCCCCUUCGAGGCGCUGCGCUCACUCCCCCGGUGCACGCUGUGUCAGCCUGUCCCGAGCUGGUGAAAAUAAACAGUGU